rnacentral:rRNA from 1 species
UGAACGCUGGCGGCAGGCCUAACACAUGCAGUCGAGCGGAUGAAGGGAGCUUGCUCCUGGAUUCAGCGGCGGACGGGUGAGUAAUGCCUAGGAAUCUGCCUGGUAGUGGGGGAUAACGUCCGGAAACGGGCGCUAAUACCGCAUACGUCCUGAGGGAGAAAGUGGGGGAUCUUCGGACCUCACGCUAUCAGAUGAGCCUAGGUCGGAUUAGCUAGUUGGUGGGGUAAAGGCCUACCAGGCGACGAUCCGUAACUGGUCUGAGAGGAUGAUCAGUCACACUGNGAACUGAGACACGRUCMGGACUCCUACGGGAGGCAGCAAGUGGGGAAUAUUGGNCAAUGGGCGAAAGCCUGAUCCAGCCAUGCCGCGUGUGUUAAGAAGGUCUUUCGGAUUUGUAAAGCACUUUAAGGUUUGGGAGGAAGGGCAGUAAAGUUAAUACCUUUCCUGUUUUUGACGUUUCCAACAAAUAAAGCACCGCUUAACUUCUUGCCACAAC